rnacentral:rRNA from 1 species
GGACUACCAGGGUAUCUAAUCCUGUUUGCUCCCCUUGCUCUCGCGCCUCAGCGUCAGGUCAUAGCUAGAAAACCGCUUUCGCCACUGGUGUUCUUCCACAUAUCUACGCAUUUCACCGCUACACGUGGAAUUCCGUUUUCUCCGCCAUCCCUCAAGACUCAUAGUUUCAAAUGCAGCUCCGAAAUUGAGUUUCGGAAUUUCACAUCUGACUUAUGAACCCGCCUACGCGCCCUUUACGCCCAAUAAUUCCGAUUAAUGCUUGCACCCUCCGUAUUACCGCGGCGGCUGGCAC